rnacentral:rRNA from 1 species
GACGAACGCUGGCGGCGUGCCUAAUACAUGCAAGUCGAACGCAUUUUCUUUCACCUUGUCUCACUACACUGAAAGAAAAUCGGGUGCGUACGGGGUAGUAACACUUGGUUAACCUGCCCAUCAGCGGGGGAUAACACUUGGUAACAGGGGCUAAUACCUCAUAAUUCCAUUUACCGCAUGGUAAAUAGAUGAUACGCGCUUUUGAGUCACUGAUGGAUGGACCCGCGGUGCAUUAGCUAGUUGGUGGGGUAACGGCCUACCAAGGCUGCGAUGCAUAGCCGACCUGAGAGGGUGAUCGGCCACACUGGGACUGGGACACGGCCCAGACUCCUACGGGAGGCAGCAGUAGGGAAUCUUCGGCAAUGGACGCAAGUCUGACCGAGCAACGCCGCGUGAGUGAAGAAGGUUUUCGGAUCGUAAAACUCUGUUGUUAGGGAAGAACAAGGAUGAGAGUGGAAGGUCAAUCCCUGGACGUUAUCAAACAAGAAAGCAACGGCUACUUACGG